CUUCCUUACUCGAUGGUUUUUGACUCGACUCGUCGAGUUCUUGUAGCUGGGGCACCAGAAUUAAGUUUCAACAACAAGGAUAGGGUCACGGGACAUUGAUGAGAUGUUGGGUUGGACCGAACUUCUGUAACAAUCAAGUUCAGGUAAAAUCUGGAGUCAGGUUGGGAUCCUACCCGAACAAAUCUCCUUCCUGUGAAGCUUAUGGUGGCCAAAGUUGCAGCGUUGAAGUCGCCUCAGACCAAGG
rnacentral:misc_RNA from 1 species